UUGAGCGCUGAAGGUUGGUACUUGUACCGACUGGAUGAGCAGCCCCCUGGUGAGUAACGCGUGGGGAAUCUGCCUUUGAGCGGGGCACAACAUUUGGAAACGAAUGCUAAUACCGCAUAAAAACUUUAAACACAAGUUUUAAGUUUGAAAGAUGCAAUUGCAUCACUCAAAGAUGAUCCCGCGUUGUAUUAGCUAGUUGGUGAGGUAAAGGCUCACCAAGGCGAUGAUACAUAGCCGACCUGAGAGGGUGAUCGGCCACAUUGGGACUGAGACACGGCCCAAACUCCUACGGGAGGCAGCAGUAGGGAAUCUUCGGCAAUGGACGAAAGUCUGACCGAGCAACGCCGCGUGAGUGAAGAAGGUUUUCGGAUCGUAAAACUCUGUUGGUAGAGAAGAACGUUGGUGAGAGUGGAAAGCUCAUCAAGUGACGGUAACUACCCAGAAAGGGACGGCUAACUACGUGCCAGCAGCCGCGGUAAUACGUAGGUCCCGAGCGUUGUCCGGAUUUAUUGGGCGUAAAGCGAGCGCAGGUGGUUUAUUAAGUCUGGUGUAAAAGGCAGUGGCUCAACCAUUGUAUGCAUUGGAAACUGGUAGACUUGAGUGCAGGAGAGGAGAGUGGAAUUCCAUGUGUAGCGGUGAAAUGCGUAGAUAUAUGGAGGAACACCGGUGGCGAAAGCGGCUCUCUGGCCUGUAACUGACACUG
rnacentral:rRNA from 1 species